GUCCAGACUCCUACGGGAGGCAGCAGUGGGGGAUAUUGCACAAUGGGGGGAACCCUGAUGCAGCGACGCCGCGUGGGUGAAGAAGCGCCUCGGCGCGUAAAGCCCUGUCAGCAGGGAAGAAAAUGACGGUACCUGAAGAAGAAGCCCCGGCUAACUACGUGCCAGCAGCCGCGGUAAUACGUAGGGGGCAAGCGUUAUCCGGAUUUACUGGGUGUAAAGGGAGCGUAGACGGCGGGGUAAGUCUGGAGUGAAAGGCCGGGGCCCAACCCCGGGACCGCUCUGGAAACUGCCCGGCUGGAGUGCGGGAGAGGUAAGCGGAAUUCCUAGUGUAGCGGUGAAAUGCGUAGAUAUUAGGAGGAACACCAGCGGCGAAGGCGGCUUACUGGACCGUGACUGACGUUGAGGCUCGAAAGCGUGGGGAGCAAGCAGGAUUAGAUACCCCCGUAA
rnacentral:rRNA from 1 species